AGGACAGGACUGCUGCUUUUAACUAUCUGCUGGGCAGGUGUUGAUGGUCAGACUCUGACAGAAUCUGAACCAGCGAUUAAAAGGCCUGGAGAAUCUCACAGAUUGACCUGUACAACAUCUGGAUUCACAUUCAGUGGCUACUGGAUGCACUGGGCUCGACAGGCUCCUGGAAAAGGACUGGAGUGGGUUGCUACCAUCAGCACUGGCAGUAGCAG